rnacentral:rRNA from 1 species
GACGAACGCUGGCGGCGCGCCUAAUGCAUGCAAGUCGAGCGACGCAUGCCCGGUGGGUAACCACUAGGUAUGACGGAGCGGCGAACGGGUGAGUAACACGUGAGUAACCUGCCCCGAAGAUCGGGAUAGCCCGGGAAACCCGGAUUAAUACCGAAUACCCUCUCUGGAUCGCAUGGUCCGGUGAGGAAAGGCCUUUGUGCUUCGGGAUGGACUCGCGGCCUAUCAGCUUGUUGGUGAGGUAACGGCUCACCAAGGCAACGACGGGUAGCUGGUCUGAGAGGACGAUCAGCCACACUGGGACUGAGACACGGCCCAGACUCCUACGGGAGGCAGCAGCAGGGAAUCUUGUCCAAUGGGCGCAAGCCUGAGACAGCGACGCCGCGUGAGGGAUGAAGGCCUUCGGGUUGUAAACCUCUUUCAGGAGGGACGAAAUUGACGGUACCUCCAGAAGAAGCCCCGGCCAACUACGUG